rnacentral:tRNA from 1 species
GCCCCAGUGGCGAAAUGGUAGACGCGGCAGACUCAAAAUCUGUUGUUCGAAAGGACGUGUUGGUUCGAGUCCGACCUGGGGCACCA